rnacentral:rRNA from 1 species
CCUACGGGAGGCAGCAGUGGGGAAUAUUGGGCAAUGGGCGCAAGCCUGACCCAGCAACGCCGCGUGAAGGAAGAAGGCUUUCGGGUUGUAAACUUCUUUUCUCAGGGACGAAGCAAGUGACGGUACCUGAGGAAUAAGCCACGGCUAACUACGUGCCAGCAGCCGCGGUAAUACGUAGGUGGCAAGCGUUAUGCGGAUUUACUGGGUGUAAAGGGAGUGUAGGCGGGAAAGCAAGUCAGAUGUGAAAACCAUGGGCUCAACCUGUGGCCUGCAUUUGAAACUGUUUUUCUUGAGUACUGGAGAGGCAGACGGAAUGCCUAGUGUAGCGGUGAAAUGCGUAGAUAUUAGGAGGAACACCAGUGGCGAAGGCAGUCUGCUGGACAGCAACUGACGCUGAGGCGCGAAAGCGUGGGGAGCGAACAGGAUUAGAUACCCCAGUAGUC